rnacentral:lncRNA from 10 species
CAGGGACCACAGUCACAUGAUUUGUGAGUACACUGGGCAGGAAAGAACAGUCCAUGAUAUUCACACGGAGUGAAAUAACUAUUACACCUGCCACAUUGGCUCCCACUGAGGAAUGACUGCUUCCUUGAUUACAAAAAUGGACACUGAAGAAGAUUCAUAAGUUCCAGCUGCAAUGUCCUCAAAUAAGCCUGAUGCCUCAAUUUCCUCUUCUGUCACUCCCAACCUCAUACUUUUGUUUGUGAGUAUCAACUGAAGUAAGAAGAUGAAUGAAGUGCCCAGAGUAAUGUCCAGCAGACCACGGACACAAAACCAAAGCUGGAUUACUUUUUCUCUCCUCUUCUCUUUUGAUGCUAAUUUUGAAGGUGACAUUGGGAGAAGAACAUCCUUUGAAACCCUGACAUUCUAGAAAUCCAGAGCUUCCUUGAGUUUCAACUAUUCUUGGAUGUAUGCAAAGUGGCCGGAAGCCAUUAGUGAUUUACUCAUUGGUCUUAACAAGCAAGCUAAUAUGCCCCCAAAGGUCCUCUUGUAACACAAGCAAAAGGAAGCCAAGGGUUGAACCAUUUAUUCUGUGAAUUUGAUUGAUGUCGACAGGCAAUCUGGACAGCUGAGGCCCAAAUGCACAUUUUUUUUCUCCUCUUUCAUGGCAGGAUUGAUUUUGGCCUGAAUCAUCUAAAUAAUUGCCUUCC